rnacentral:misc_RNA from 1 species
CGGGGAUGGCGGGCAAAGAAUUACAUGAAGAAGAAUUC